rnacentral:rRNA from 1 species
CACGUAGGGCGCAAGCGUUGUCCGGAAUUAUUGGGCGUAAAGAGCUCGUAGGCGGUCUGUUGCGUCCGCUGUGAAAACUCGGGGCUUAACCCCGAGCCUGCAGUGGAUACGGGCAGACUAGAGGUAGGUAGGGGAGAAUGGAAUUCCCGGUGUAGCGGUGAAAUGCGCAGAUAUCGGGAGGAACACCGGUGGCGAAGGCGGUUCUCUGGGCCUUCCCUGACGCUGAGGAGCGAAAGCGUGGGGAGCGAACAGG